AAGGCUUUAGCUUAGUUAAAGUGUCUGAGUUGCAUUCAGGAGAUGUAGAUUAAAGUUUUAGAGGUCUUG
rnacentral:tRNA from 1 species